GCCACGCACGCAUAGCUUCAGUCACAGGAGAUGGAGGCGCCAUAGGGCAGCUAGGGUUCUUAGCGGCAGUGAGGCGCAGUUUGCGUCUUCAUCCUCUUGUUUUCCCGAUAUCCUGGCAAUAUUUCCUUCUCUUUCUACAAUUGAGUGAUUCUUCUUUCUUUCCUCUAUCAGCACAGCGGCAAGAUUGAUGGGAAUGGGAGAGGCGCUGUGGAGAAAUCGAGGCAAAUGCCCACACUACAAGCUCCAGUGUGGAUGUUAUGUUGAAGGUGGAAGCUUGGGAAACGCUGCCUUGAAGGUAAAUUUUCCUCUCCAAUUUUUUCUUCCAGGUGAUUGUUUCUCAAGAAUGUGAUAAUUGAAAUCUGGGCCGUCCAUUGGAUAA